rnacentral:rRNA from 1 species
UACGUAGGGUGCAAGCGUUGUCCGGAAUUAUUGGGCGUAAAGAGCUCGUAGGCGGUCUGUCGCGUCGGAUGUGAAAACCCGGGGCUUAACCCCGGGCCUGCAUUCGAUACGGGCAGACUCGAGUGUGGUAGGGGAGACUGGAACUCCUGGUGUAGCGGUGAAAUGCGCAGAUAUCGGGAAGAACACCAGUGGCGAAGGCGGCUCUCUGGGACGGUACUGACGCUGAGACGCGAAAGCGUGGGGAGCAAACAGG